rnacentral:rRNA from 1 species
CAGUAGCCACGGUAAUACGUAGGUCCCGAGCGUUGUCCGGAUUUAUUGGGCGUAAAGCGAGCGCAGGCGGUUAGAUAAGUCUGAUGUGAAAGCCCCCGGCUCAACCGGGGAGGGUCAUUGGAAACUGGGAAACUUGAGUGCAGAAGAGGAGAGUGGAAUUCCACGUGUAGCAGUGAAAUGCGUAGAGAUGUGGAGGAACACCGAUGGCGAAGGCAGCCCCCUGGGCCAAUACUGACGCUCAUGCACGAAAGCUAGGGGAGCAAAUGGGAUUAGAUACCCCUGUAGUCCCUGUCUCUUAUAC